ACACGCAUUUGGUCAUUCGUAGCCAGCCCCUCUGAACUACAGUCACAGUGACAACAUUACAGCUCUAGAUCCACAACAAACAUAUUUAGCAAAUGACAGUAUGUUAUUUUAUAUAUGUAUUUUCUUACCGUUUUUCCUUCUUGGGUUGGCUUGUUUUCGCCUCUUACACCUGGGGCCAUCCGCCAUGAUCUCGUGCUUCAUUGAUAAGAGUGGAUCAGAUGGCAGCUCGCAUGGACUCGACUCCUUGAAUCAGCAGCAGCAGCACGCAGGCUCAAUAUCUAACAACCAAACACAGGCAGCAACAAUGUGAGUACACUGGACUGACUGGGAGAAACCAUUUCAAUUUCAGGCGCCAAGUAAAAGAGAAAAUAAUAGAAAACCCAAUAUACACAUUUUAUUUGAUUUUAUACCUAUGCUGGAGUACGAUAAGGGGUCGAUCAAUGUAUUGUUGAUCUGUAUAAUGCCUGUGAUCGGGGAUGAUGAUAAGUGGAAGUGAACAUGACGACGGGGAAGGAGAGGAGGCAGAGAAAGGGGGAGACAUGGAGUUGCACCUUCAGUAUGAGGCAUAAUUCACUAAGUCAUGGCCGUGCUGGGUUAAGCAUGCGUUUUACAUUAUGUUCAUUCAAAUAAGAAAAGUUUUACCAUUGAUCAUUUUCUUUCUUUUGUGCUGUUUUCAUUUUAUGUUCUGCUCCUAUAUAUAUAUAUAAAUAAAAAUAACUCGUAUAUCGCAAACAGUAGGCCUACAUUGAUUUAUCUGGGUUUAUGUUUUUUUUAACCUUACAUUUUUAAAAUUGAGAGUAACCUACAUUGAUGAUGACUGGGGCAAUGUUAAAGUUAUGAGUUCAACAAUAGGCUUUGUGUCAAAUGUAAAUAUCACAGGGUGGAAAGAAGAGCAAUUUCACUCCGCUAGGCCCAUAUCACUUACAACACAAAACAAUACACAUGAAAGAUGAUACAAAAAGCUAUGUUGUGAAAUACGUAGUGCUAAAUGCAUAAAUGUAAAUGUACUCCACAAUUAAAUUGCGAAUAUUACUACAUUUGUUCGUUUAAGGUUAAUUUUAGAUAGCAUGCAUAUUUUACGUUUUAGGCCUGUCAUGUUGAAAAACGUACAUGCAUAAAUAAGCAAAAACAGACAAAACAUGAAAACAUUCAUGCUUUCAAUGGACUAAUCGUGCGAAAUGAGUGGGUUAAAUUCUGCCAAUGGAUUGUUUUACUAUGAGGAACGACCCACGACAGGAAAAACAAAUAAACACACACAAACUAACAAAUACCACAAAAUGAUGUGUCAACAAAUAUACAAUUAUCCAGACAGGAAUUGAAACAUAUUACAGCUAUCUGAACAAAUAAAUAACGUUGAUAUGAUAAGCGAAUAUUUACCAUAUUGUGAGACAGACAACUUCUACUCUACGAAACCAAAAAAUACAGAAAGACACUAACAAAAACGAGUUGGAUACAAAAGGGUGCGUGCUUGGCUCGGUGAAAGUGAAUCCAAAGCUGAAGAAGACCGGGCUUGUUUUUUUGUUUCUUUUUCUCGUGGUUUUUCGGCUCGAAUAGUAGGCUUUUCAUCAUAUUCUGUAAAACUGCAUAUGUUCUGUUGGAACGCACUUGCAAGCCUAGAUAUUUAAAAGGCACCGCUACCUCAUCCACCUGUGCAGGUAGAGAAAGUUUAAAGUGAACGCAAUACUACAUCACCAAAUCCCUUAUAAAAGCUCUAAGUCGCAAUCUCUAAAAUGAUAAAUGACAUAUUUUAUAAAGGUUAUUAGUCGAGGUAAAGAAAUGGACACGUACCUGAUUUCGUAUAGUGGUAUCUUUUCGGUUGACUUCGGUUGUAGUGAUAACACAAGACUGCCGCGGUAAGCAAUUGCGGAGAGAAAUGUGCAGGGAUCCUUGCAACGAUAAUAAAGCCUUAGAAAUAGUGGUUCGGAAGGACCGUUAUUCCUGCUAGGGCAGGUUAGGACUGAUCUCUUUCAGACACUCCAGGAAACAAACCUGGGGACGGACUGACGUGUUACGCCUCUUCUAAUGACAUUUUUUUCUUUUUCUUUUCUGUACUACGGAGGAGAGGAGAGAACCAACUCUGGGACACGCGCCACCUGUCUUCACGGGAGGGGAUAAUUGAGCAGGACCAAACGUGAGCAUCUUUUGGUAAACGUGACACGUUUCUUAUUUUUUAUUUUAUCUCCCAGGCUGUUUGAUCCGAGUGAAAUGAACUGUGACUGUCGGACUAUGACUACCACGUAUAAGCAGCCGAAGAAACAAGAAUAUUAUCCGGAAGAAGAAAAGUUGGAACACUCUCAUAUUCAACCCACACGACCACAUCUGAAAGGGGGGAAAGGGACCGAAAUGACAGUGUUGCAAGUUUGACUGACUCUCACACAUACCAGGGAUGAAAGUAUAAGGGUUGCAGAGUGUUAAGGAAGUGAGCAUCAGCGGUUUGGGUUGUUAAUGUUUUAAAUUUGUAAACGUGUAUUUAUUUGCCUCUAUGGACGUGCGUUUAUGUUGUACUAUCGUAAUAACCACUAUGAGUGGAGCAUGUAUAACGGCGCAUGCCCCAUGCACCUACAAGAGCGAAAGAGAUGUGUAUAUUGAGGUGCUUCUCGCAAGUGCCAGGUGCAGUCAGUUAUCAACUGUAUGGAUAAUUAAAUCAUCAAUCAAGAGGCUCGACUGUUUGAUGCCUUUGUCCAAAGCCAAUCAGAUUCCAGAGAACUUGGAAGCCCAGCUCGAGAGGAAAAGCUGUUAUUGGUCGCAGUCAGGUGAUAGUGCGUUACAGACUUGAAGAAGGGGAUCCCGCUUUACUGCAGCUGUCGCAUGGAAACACGGCUAUCUUUGGAUUCCAACUCCCUGCAGGACUGCUGUUCUGUGCUGGGAAAGGAGCAGCUAUCAUGAUGGAAUUGCUCCCCAGAAAUGUUCCAUCUGUGCUAAAACUUAGGAGGAGGAGGAGAAUUCACAGGUGGUGGUGGGAAAAGAAUCGAAUGGAAUGGAAUCCCCAAACUAAAUAAGAGAGGGGGAUGAGAGGAGGAGGAGAACAGGACGGUGUCAUUUCCUGUACAUGAGAACAUACCCCAAAGCUGCUCUACAUUGCACUGUUUCAAUGUCGCCCCUAAAUAAGUUCACAAACCACAAGUACGGUAUAUGAUCCAUUACGGUAAGUAAGAUUUAUGUUGAAGAUAAUUCAAUGUCUUACAUAAAGUAUGACUACUUUUAUGACUACAUAUAUCCUAUAUACCGCUGACAGCUUCUAACAACGAUGGUGAGUAUCUAGUAUGUCUAAGGCCCUAAGCAUACAGUUUGACAGUCUUCUAAAGACGUUUGGUAUACAAUACAAUGUAUAAGGGCCUAAAUGAUAAUGGUGUGACACAAAGCAUCUCCUUCACCAGACCAUAUCUAUCCCUCUAGUUUUGUUUUUUUAACUCUCCCUCUCUCUCCGUACACUACAGUCGCCACAACAACAUCGACUGUAGGUCUGUCUAUGGGACCCGUUCUGUGAUAUUCUGAUCCCACUGCUGUAGACAGCCGCAGAUAUUAUGCCAUCCACCGUUGCUCGCAGUGUAACAGAGUGAAGAACAUGAGAGAUUGAUGGACAAUUGGAGAACAGAGUACGACCGUGUGUGUGUGUGUGUGUGUGUGUGUGUGAUCUUCGGGGAAGAAGUCUCAAACACGGGAAAUGAAUUUAGUUUACAUUCGCUACAGGCCUUACAGUCAAAUGAGCACUUGUCCUUUGCUUGUGCUUUUCUCAAAAACACUUCAGAUGUUUCUCAGUGUAUAUAAAAGAAAGUGAGACAGAGAGAGAGAGGAGAAAGAGAGAGAGAUCGCAAAGUAACAGAUUGCUUAGAAGCAAAAAUCUUACAUCAGAAACAUAUAGAUUAUUCUUCUGUUAGUUGCUCUUGUUAAAAUCAACAGUGUAAGUGCAUGGUGACUCGAUCUGAGACUGUGAACAUAAAGCUUACAUCAGAAACGUAUAGAUUUUUCUUCUGUUGGUUGCUCUUGUUAAAAUCAACAGAGUAAGUGCAUGGUGACUCGAUCUGAGGCUGCGAAUUACAACUUGUUCAUUUGAGCUGCACAAAUAAGAGACAGAUCAGAUGUUCUGCUUUACUUUGAAUCUUUCCUGUGGAAAGAGGUCAGGUCCCCAGUGGCCAGAAAAGUAACAGAUUGGUGGAGGGAGGCUGUGAGGGACUCAGAAAACCAGUAUUUCCUGUUUUAAUAUUUGGAUAUUCCCUCUUUGCGAAGUAUUUAUACCCAGAAGAGAUAGACAUAAAACACAAUAAGUUAAUAUUUGACAUGGACAAAAGUUAGUCACCCAAAGUGUGCUUUAAAAAAGGUAAGCUGCUCAAGGAAAACAGGAAAACGUAUUUCACUCUUGACUCGAAAAAUGACUUAUCGCUCCCUGGAAUGAAUAAAUGACGGUGGCGAUGAUGCAUUAUUAAUCAAACAUUUGAAUAACUGUUGUAUCUCUAAUCUCUUCCCUACAUUUGCAUAUCAGCCUUUUAAUGUCUGCUUCCAUAGAUGAUGCGAGCUACUUCCUCUUAGGACAUAGAAAUAAAAUUAAUAUAACUAACUUGUUUCCUCAAACCAAACCAU